AUCCAGCACCGCGGCCGCGCGACUGGUCGCUCCGCCGCCGCCUCCCGGGUGCUGUCGCCCGCCCAGCGGAGCAGGGGAAGCGCUGAGCCCACGCUGGCCCCGCUCCUCUCCGUUGCCGGGUCCGCUCCCACGGGCUCGGCCCCCAGACCCUCAGUGGCACCCACCCUGUGCGGCCCUCGUGUGGCCCCAGCCCCGCUCCCCGUCCCCGUUCCACAGACGCUGGGGCGCAGGGGCGGCUCCGCCCUGCCCUUCACCCGCACGGUAGAGGGGUCACGGCUCACCGCAGCCUCCGCCUCCGGGCUCCAGCGGUCCUCGCAGGCGCGCCCCACCACGCUCAGCUAAUUUUUUCUUAUUUUUUAUAGAGAUGCGGUCUCCUGAAAAGUAGCCACUCUUUUUUGUUUUGUUUUGUUUUGUUUGGGGGGCGGGGGACAGAGUCUUGCUCUUUCGCCAGGCUGGAGUGCAGUGGCGCGAUCUCGGCUCGGAAUCUCCACCUCCCGGGCUCAAGCGAUUCUCCCGUCUCAGCUUCCGGAGUAGCUGGGACUACAGGCGCGCGCCACCACGCCCGGUUAAUUUUUUUGUAUUUUAGUAGAGACAGGGUUUCACCAUGUUGGCCAGGAUGGUCUCGAUAUCCUGACCUCGUGAUCCGCCUUCCUCGGCCUCCCAAAGUGCUGGGAUUACAAGCGUGAGCCACGCGCCCGGCCUUUUUUUUUUUUUUUUUUUAAGAGACCGGCCCACUAUGUUGCCCAGGCAGAUCUCGAACUGCUGAGCUCAAGCGAUCCUCCCGCCUCCCCUCCCGAAGUGCUAGGAUUCCAGGUGUGGCCACCGCGCCCACCACUUCCUUGCCUCCUCUCCCAAGCUUGCCCUCCUGUCUCCUGCUUUCCCUUAGACAAACUCAUAUGAUCCUGGGCCCGCGCAGAUAAUCUGGCAUAAUCUCAAAAUCCUUAAUCCCAUCUCUGGGGCCACAAUUCAACCAACUACAAGCUUGAAUUUGGGGAAUGAGCCAUGGAGGUGUUGGGGAGAGCGUGUUCCUGGCAGUGCAAGAGCCAGGAGGCAGGAGACAGCCGUCUGCAGCAGCCCCACUCCCGCCCUCCAGGGGCUGUGCCUUCUCCUACAGAAACAACCGAUAUGUCGGCAGGUGAAUGGAAAAACUGUGGUACCUACAGACAAUGGAAUACUAUGCAGCUCUAAAAAGAAAUGAGGCCAGGCACAGUGGCUCAUGCCCGUAAUCCUAACGCUUUGGGAGGCCAGGAGGGCGGAUCACUUAAGGCCAGGAGUUUGAGACCAGCCUGGCCAGCGUGGCAAAACCCGUCUCUAAAAAUACAAAAAUCUCUCUCCCUCUCCCUCUCGCUCUCGCUCUCGCUCUCGCUCUCCCUCCCCCUCCCCCUCUCGCUCUCGCUCUCCCCACGGUCUCCCUCUCCCUCUCUUUCCACGGUCUCCCUCUGAUGCCGAGCGGAAGCUGGACGGUACUGCUGCCAUCUCGGCUCACUGCAACCUCCCUGCCUGAUUCUCCUGCCUCAGCCUGCCGAGUGCCUGCGAUUGCAGGCGCGCGCCGCCACGCCUGACUGGUUUUCCUAUUUUUUUGGUGGAGAUGGGGUUUCGCUGUGUUGGCGGGGCUGGUCUCCAGCUCCUAACCGCGAGUGAUCCGCCAGCCUCCGCCUCCCGAGGCGCCGGGAUUGCAGACGGGAGUCUCGUUCACUCAGUGCUCAAUGGUGCCCAGGCUGGAGUGCAGUGGCGUGAUCUCGGCUCGCUACAACCUCCACCUCCCACCCGCCUGCCUUGGCCCCCCCAAAGUGCUGAGAUUGCAGCCUCUGCCCGGCCGCCACCCCGUCUGGGAAGUGAGGAGCUUCUCUGCCUGGCCGCCCAUCGUCUGGGAUGUGAGGAGCCCCUCUGCCUGGCUGCCCAGUCUGGAAAGUGAGGAGCGUCUCUGCCCGGCCGCCCAUCGUCUGAGAUGUGGGGAGCACCUCUGCCCUGCCGCCCCGUCUGGGAUGCGAGGAGCGUCUCUGCCCGGCUGCCCCGUCUGAGAAGUGAGGAGCCCCUCUGCCUGCCAACCGCCCCGUCUGGGAAGUGAGGAGCGUCUCCGCCCGGCAGCCACCCCGUCCUGGAGGGAGGUGGGGGUCAGCCCCCACCAGGCCAGCCACCCCGUCAGGGAGGUGAGGGGCGCCUCUGCCCGGCCGCCCCUACUGGGAAGUGAGGAGCCCCCUCUGCCCGGCCACCACCCCGUCUGGGAGGUGUACCCAACAGCUCAUUGAGAACGGGCCAUGAUGACAAUGGCGGUUUUGUGGAAUACAAAGGGGGGAAGGUGGGGAAAAGAUUGAGAAAUCAGAUGGUUGCCGUGUCUGUGUAGAAAGAGGUAGACAUGGGAGACUUUUCAUUUUGUUCUGUACUAAGAAAA
rnacentral:lncRNA from 1 species